UUCGUAGGUGGCUUGCUAAGUCAGACGUGAAAUCCCUCAGCUUAACUGGGGAACUGCGUCUGAUACUGGCGAGCUUGAGUGCAGGAGAGGAACGCAGAAUUCCAGGUGUAGCGGUGAAAUGCGUAGAUAUCUGGAGGAAUACCGGUGGCGAAGGCGGCGUUCUGGACUGCAACUGACACUGAUGAACGAAACGCCGAGGGGAGCAAACG
rnacentral:rRNA from 1 species